rnacentral:rRNA from 1 species
UAAGCACCGGCUAACUACGUGCCAGCAGCCGCGGUAUACGGUAGGGUGCAAGCGUUAAUCGGAAUUACUGGGCGUAAAGCGUGCGCAGGCGGUGAUGUAAGACAGAGGUGAAAUCCCCGGGCUCAACCUGGGAACUGCCUUUGUGACUGCAUCGCUGGAGUGCGGCAGGAGGGGGAUGGAAUUCCGCGUGUAGCAGUGAAAUGCGUAGAUAUGCGGAGGAACACCGAUGGCGAAGGCAAUCCCCUGGGCCUGCACUGACGCUCAUGCACGAAAGCGUGGGGAGCAAACAGGAUUAGAUACCCUGGUAGUCCACGCCCUAAACGAUGUCAACUGGUUGUUGGGUUUUAAUUAACUCAGUAACGAAGCUAACGCGUGAAGUUGACCGCCUGGGGAGUACGGCCGCAAGGUUGAAACUCAAAAGGAAUUGACGGGGGAC